rnacentral:rRNA from 1 species
GAUGAACGCUGGCGGCGUGCCUAAUACAUGCAAGUCGAGCGAACGGACGAGAAGCUUGCUUCUCUGAUGUUAGCGGCGGACGGGUGAGUAACACGUGGAUAACCUACCUAUAAGACUGGGAUAACUUCGGGAAACCGGAGCUAAUACCGGAUAAUAUUUUGAACCGCAUGGUUCAAAAGUGAAAGACGGUCUUGCUGUCACUUAUAGAUGGAUCCGCGCUGCAUUAGCUAGUUGGUAAGGUAACGGCUUACCAAGGCAACGAUGCAUAGCCGACCUGAGAGGGUGAUCGGCCACACUGGAACUGAGACACGGUCCAGACUCCUACGGGAGGCAGCAGUAGGGAAUCUUCCGCAAUGGGCGAAGGCCUGACGGAGCAACGCCGCGUGAGUGAUGAAGGUCUUCGGAUCGUAAAACUCUGUUAUUAGGGAAGAACAUAUGUGUAAGUAACUGUGCACAUCUUGACGGUACCUAAUCAGAAAGCCACGGCUAACUACGUGCCAGCAGCCGCGGUAAUACGUAGGUGGCAAGCGUUAUCCGGAAUUAUUGGGCGUAAAGCGCGCGUAGGCGGUUUUUUAAGUCUGAUGUGAAAGCCCACGGCUCAACCGUGGAGGGUCAUUGGAAACUGGAAAACUUGAGUGCAGAAGAGGAAAGUGGAAUUCCAUGUGUAGCGGUGAAAUGCGCAGAGAUAUGGAGGAACACCAGUGGCGAAGGCGACUUUCUGGUCUGUAACUGACGCUGAUGUGCGAAAGCGUGGGGAUCAAACAGGAUUAGAUACCCUGGUAGUCCACGCCGUAAACGAUGAGUGCUAAGUGUUAGGGGGUUUCCGCCCCUUAGUGCUGCAGCUAACGCAUUAAGCACUCCGCCUGGGGAGUACGACCGCAAGGUUGAAACUCAAAGGAAUUGACGGGGACCCGCACAAGCGGUGGAGCAUGUGGUUUAAUUCGAAGCAACGCGAAGAACCUUACCAAAUCUUGACAUCCUUUGACAACUCUAGAGAUAGAGCCUUCCCCUUCGGGGGACAAAGUGACAGGUGGUGCAUGGUUGUCGUCAGCUCGUGUCGUGAGAUGUUGGGUUAAGUCCCGCAACGAGCGCAACCCUUAAGCUUAGUUGCCAUCAUUAAGUUGGGCACUCUAAGUUGACUGCCGGUGACAAACCGGAGGAAGGUGGGGAUGGCGUCAAAUCAUCAUGCCCCUUAUGAUUUGGGCUACACACGUGCUACAAUGGACAAUACAAAGGGCAGCGAAACCGCGAGGUCAAGCAAAUCCCAUAAAGUUGUUCUCAGUUCGGAUUGUAGUCUGCAACUCGACUACAUGAAGCUGGAAUCGCUAGUAAUCGUAGAUCAGCAUGCUACGGUGAAUACGUUCCCGGGUCU